rnacentral:rRNA from 1 species
AUGAACGCUGGCGGCGUGCCUAAUCCAUGCCAGUCGAGCGGACAGACGAGGAGCUUGCUCCUCUGACGUUAGCGGCGGACGGGUGAGUAACACGUGGAUAACCUACCUAUAAGACUGGGAUAACUUCGGGAAACCGGAGCUAAUACCGGAUAAUAUAUUUAACCGCAUGGUUCAAUAGUGAAAGACGGUUUUGCUGUCACUUAUAGAUGGAUCCGCGCCGCAUUAGCUAGUUGGUAAGGUAACGGCUUACCAAGGCAACGAUGCGUAGCCGACCUGAGAGGGUGAUCGGCCACACUGGAACUGAGACACGGUCCAGACUCCUACGGGAGGCAGCAGUAGGGAAUCUUCCGCAAUGGGCGAAAGCUUGACGGAGCAACGCCGCGUGAGUGAUGAAGGUCUUCGGAUCGUAAAACUCUGUUAUUAGGGAAGAACAAAUGUGUAAGUAACUAUGCACGUCUUGACGGUACCUAAUCAGAAAGCCACGGCUAACUACGUG